rnacentral:lncRNA from 1 species
AUAAUUUUUUUAUUCUUAUUAUGUUGAUUAUAUGUUUUUAUUUAUUUUUAAACUUGUUGUUUUUACCGGGCCUUUAAAACAAAUACAUGAAAACUUGUAAAAAUAACUAUAAAAUGAGUGACAAUUAGUAUUUGGGUCUUAAUGGGUUUUAAACGAAUAUAUAUAUUUCUCAUAAGAAGACAAUAGCAUUGGCAUGUUGACAUUGAUCAUGUAAGCUAUUUUCAUAAGACAAGAGAAGUGAGCAGGUGAAGAUGUUGUUGCCGCCUUUGUGUUUGUUGGGAUUGUCUCUUGUAUCUCCUGGUGUGGUCGUGUUUGUUUCACUUUUAUUUGGCGGGUAAUAUGUAAACAAAAAUCAUUGGUAGUUGUAUUUAUCAGCGUUUGUAACUUACUCUGCUUUUUAAAAAAAGUAAUUUCACUGAUAUUGGUUGACGUCAUAUUCUUCUUCGUAAACAUCUGCGAAAGUAAGUUUGUAAAUUGUUAAAUAGCUGGUUGUGUACUUUGUAUUUGUUUAGCUGACUCAAUGUAUGUGUCGUUGAGUUUUAGUUGAGUUGAUUGGUUUGAUAUAUUUGUUUUGAAGUUUAUUUGUAAGAUUGGACAAAAAGAGAAGUGAUCAUUGAUUCGUCUUUUUUGGGAUUCUAGUUUUUGGU